rnacentral:pre_miRNA from 1 species
AGUACAACAGCUUCUUGUCACACAGAAAUGAACUGCUGUGACUAGAUCCUGUUGUAUUAU